CUGGGACGGCAGCUUCUGCACAACCCUCAGACACGCAACACUUAGAAAGGACGGCUCACAAUUUGAGAGACGAGAAGAAAAAGAAAGGCGACUGUUCAUCGUUCUUAGGGUUUCUUGUUCAGCCGAUUUGGUUUAAUUUCUCGGAGUCGUUGCUGCUUUCGUCUGGCGGUCUGGUUUGCUUUCUCGUCGAAUUUCUCGAGACCUUGUUUGCCGGUGUUGAUCUCUGGCUCCUGUACUCCAACUAACGCUACCGCCGCCGCCCCUCACCAGUCACCGCGCUAGCUACCGGCUUGCCCAUCGUCGCGCCUCUACCUCGCUUGCUGGCUCAGCACGUCCUGCUGCAGUCGCGACAGCAGCUUUGCCGACUUAUUCUAACGCGACAGCAGCAGUCCCUGGCGGUUUCCGGUGACUCCAGGCGGCAUCCCGGCUCCACUUGACGCCACCGCUUGCCGUUUUCUUUCCUCUGCUACGCUUUGAUCGAACACACACCGUUGCCGCCAAGCAGAGUCCGGGCGACCCCAGCUUUCCAGUUAGACUGCCCAACACCAACAAACCUUUACCGUUGCAUCUUUUGUUCUAGCAAACCUGUCUGCAAUAUGCCGUGUCCUUACUGGAUCGCCAUCGUUGCUGCUCUGGUCCCGACGUUCUUCCUCAUGGGUCGACGUAAAGCUCCCCGCCCCGGCCCCGAUUCUCGGAAACAAAUACAUGAAACUAGAAUUUUAGCGGACGUAGCUAAGAUGGAAGAAAAAAGGAACUCUUCUCUGGAAAUGGGAUCCAUGAGCCAUGGCUUGUCUAGAACUGAGUACCAUGUGUUCUUGAGUUUUCGAGGACCGGAUACUCGUGCUAACUUCACAGAUUCCCUCUAUCAUACCCUGCUAGAUAAGGGUAUCAGUGUUUUCAUAGACAAGCAGGGGAUUGACGUUGGUGACGAGAUCAGUCCCGAGAUUUACCAAGCCAUUGAUGACUCAAAGAUCUGCAUUCCCAUCUUCUCCAAAGAUUACGCCUCUAGUAGCUGGUGCCUGCAUGAGCUAGAACACAUGAUGCAGCGUUGGAAAACCAACGAACUGGAGGUGAUGCCCAUUUUCUAUGACGUGGAACCCUGUGACGUGAAGCUUGAAACCAGAGUGUAUGCGGAUGCACUAACUCUGCAUAAAGAAAAACGUGGGGCCGAGAUUGUGCAGCGCUGGAUGGAGGCACUCAGGGAAGUUACCGGAAUCAAGGGAUGGGACACCAAGAACACAGGCCACGGAGAACUUGCCCAUUUGAUUGCUCGGAAAGUGUCGGUUAAGCUUAAGGUGUCCUCUGUGCAUAUAUCCGAUCAUUUAGUUGGAAUGGAUGAGUCAGCAAAUGAAGUAGUAGAUUUGCUGAAUGUUGAAUAUAAGGACGUAAGGCUCAUUGGUAUGUGGGGAAUGGGUGGAAUAGGCAAGACAACUCUUGGCAAGGUUGUCUACAACAAACUAUCUACUAAUUUUGAUAGUUGUAGCUUCAUUUCAGAUAUUCGAGAAGCAUCGCAAGGUUCUAGUCUGUUAAAUGUGCAGAGGCGGUUACUCUCUGACAUCGUUGGUAAUGUAGGGGUUGAACUUUCUAGCAUUGAUCAUGGGAAGAAUAUGAUCAAAAAUCGAUUUUGCAAAAAGAAAGUUCUUAUUUUUCUUGAUGAUGUAGAUCAUGAGAACCAACUUAUGGCAUUGGUAGCAAAGGAAGAAUGGUUUGGUUCGGGAAGUAGAAUAAUUGUUACAACAAGAGACAUAAGUGUUUUCUGUAAACUCCAAGAUCAAUUUGAACAUUGCUUGAUUUAUGAAGUUAAGGAACUCAACAAUCUCACAGCUCUUCGACUAUUUAGCAAGCAUGCCUUUAGAUGCAACUCUCCUCCAAAUGCAUUCUUGAGUUUGUCUGAGAAAGUUAUUGCAAAAACCGGAGGGCUUCCUCUGGCUAUCGAAGUUAUUGGCUCAUUGUUAUGUGGAAAAAAAGAGGAAAGAGUGUGGCAAGAUACAUUGAAAAAGAUGGAAUAUUGUCAGCAGAAGGACGUGAAGAAAAAGUUAAUGUUGAGUUAUCAGGCAUUAGAUCAUCUGCAACAGCAAAUAUUUCUUGAUAUCGCUUGCUUUCUAGCUGGACGAGAUAAGAGCUAUCCAUAUUACAUGUGGGACGGCUGUGGAUUUUUUCCAAGUGAGGGGAUUGAUAUUUUGCUUUUAAUGUCCUUAGUGAAGAUUAGAGAAAAGAAUAAACUAUGGAUGCAUGAUCAGCUUAAGGACUUAGGCAAGAGCAUUGUGUAUGAAGAAAAUUGCAAAGACCCCACAAAGGGUUCUCGAGUGUGGUGGGAUUGGCAAGGUGGUCCGGAUAUUGUCCAACAAAAGAAGGGAACCGGAACUGCUGCAGCGUACUAUGAUCAAUCUGAGGUGCCUCUCCAAGACUUUGUUUUGACAUCAAAAGACUUUAUUGAAGCGCCAAAUAUUAGAUUUCUUGAAUUAUCUGAUUGGGCCCUCUCUGGAGACUUUGGGGAUCUCUUUUCAGAAUUGAGAUGGCUUACUUGGUGUGGUUGUCCAAAAGAAAUGCAGGCAACCAACUUUUGCCCAAAAAAUCUAGUCAUCCUUGACCUAUCGUGGAGUAGCUCAAUAGAUGAACAUUGGGCUGGUUGGACUCAACUCAAGGUGGCUACAAGAUUGAAGGUCCUUAAUCUAUCGCACUGCAUAAUGUUGAAAGAAACUACUGAGCUCUCUGCAUUUUUAUCCCUAGAAAAAUUAAUUUUAGAGGGGUGUGAAAUGCUUACGAAACUUUCUGACUCGAUCGGAAUGCUAAAAUAUUGAGUUGAGUUGGAUGUCUCACUCACAAGCAUUGUGGAGUUACCAAAUAGCGUCGUCAAUCUACAGAGUUUGAAAGUGUUGAAGAUUGACUACAGUUGCAUUCAGAAGUUACCUGAUACCAUUGGGAUGAUGGAGAAACUUGAGGAAAUUUAUGGAGAGGGUUGCUGGCAGCUGGAAGUGAUUCUUAGUGAUAUUGUGGGACUACCAUCCUUGCGGAUUUUGAAAUUAACAGAAACUCGUGUGGAGAAUGUACCUAAGAUUCCAGAGAGUUUGGUGGCUACAAGAUUGAAGAUCCUUAAUUUGUCGUACCACAUAAUGUUAAAAGAAACUCCUGAGCUCUCUACAUUUUUAUCCCUAGAAAAAUUAAUUUUAAAGGGGUGUGAAAUGCUUACGAAACUUUCCGACUCGAUUGGAAUGCUAAAAUAUUUAGUUGAGUUGGAUGUCUCAUGCACAAGCAUUGUAGAGUUGCCAAAUAGUAUUGUCAAUCUAAAGAGCUUGAAAGUGUUGAAGAUUAACGACAGUGACAUGCAAAAGCUACCUGAUGCCAUUGGAAUGAUGGAGAAACUUGAGGAAAUUUAUGGAGAGGGUUGCUGACAGCUAGAAGUGAUUCCUAGUGAUAUUGUGGGACUACCAUCCUUGCGGAUUUUGAAAUUAACAGAAACUCGUGUGGAGAAUGUACCCAAGCUUCCAGAGAGUUUGGUAAGUCUAUGUCUGUCCUCAAUAGUCUCGGAAAAAGAUCCAGAGAUCUCCAACUUAGUGAAUUUAAGAAAUCUGGAAUUAUGUUUUCCCCUUACAUACCUUGUCUGUCCCGGGUCUCCAAAAAGUUACAUGUCCAGCCCAUAUUGUAAGUUAGAACUUUCAA